UGAACUCGGUGUCCUCAGCUGACGGUUGUCCCCCUUCGGUGUCUCCGGUUUCUUUCCCCCACACAGGCACUACACUUCCAACGGAGCAGCUGUUCCUUUGCAACGCUCCCAUGCGAAUACUACGGGACUAUUGGAGGAGAAACUCAAACAUGGACCUGUAAUGCCUCCUUUGUUCGCUCAACUCCCGACGUACGUAAACAAACUUCAAGGACUGAAGCUUAUUACCUACUUAAUUCUCUGAGUUGAACUGCACAGUAUGUGAUGACCAGCAGACAAAAUUAAUUCCGUUUUCAUGAAACAUGUCAAUUUGUGGGUAUACUGAAACAAAUGAACAUAAUUAGGUCGACACCGCAUUCCCGUUACGCUCACUUUGCUCGGGAAACCUCCAUACGUUCGCCAUCCUGGAAGUUCGGGGCGCCACCUGUAGUUCAUUGGAAUCGCGAAUAGUGCUCGCAGAUCUGCCACCACUGACUGCACUGCUGUAGAAGAUGCGGACCCGUUCGCUAAAGAAAAUGAACGUAAACGAUAUGUCGCCGAGCAUGACAGGAAAAGGCAUGCGUCAAAGCGCACUACAGUUGCUGCCGAAGGAGGGGCCGAAAUACGCGUGACGCUGCACCAAUACUAAACUAUACUACUACGUCGAAAUACUUCUUUACCCACCUACUCGUACUGCCGAACCGGGCGCCAAACGUGCACUAGCCGAAGUCGUACGUAAACGUCAGCGCGCAGAAACCCACCGUGUGCACCGAGCUGCACGGUUUGGACAUCGUG